rnacentral:rRNA from 1 species
AUACGGAGGGUGCAAGCGUUAUCCGGAUUUAUUGGGUUUAAAGGGUGCGUAGGCGGCCUUAUAAGUCGGUGGUUAAAGGUGGUCGCUUAACGAUUUCACAUGCCAUCGAUACUGUAGGGCUUGAGUGAUUUGGAGGUAGCUAGAAUUCCCUGUGUAGCGGUGAAAUGCAUAGAUACGGGGAGGAAUACCGAUUGCGAAGGCAUGUUACUACGAAUUAACUGACGCUGAGGCACGAAAGCGUGGGGAUCAAACAGGAUUAGAUACCCUGGUAGUCCACGCCGUAAACGAUGAUUACUAGUUGUUGGGUUAAUAGCUCAGUGACCAAGGGAAACCGAUAAGUAAUCCACCUGGGGAGUACGCCGGCAACGGUGAA